rnacentral:misc_RNA from 1 species
GAUGAAGAACGCAGCGAAAUGCGAUAAGUAAUGUGAGUUGCAGAAUUCAGUGAAUCAUCGAAUCUUUGAACGCAUCUUGCGCUCCUUGGUAUUCUGAGGAGCAUGCCUGUUUGAGUGUCAUUAAAUUCUCAACUACACUGACUUUGAAUUGGUGUGGCUUGGAUUUGGGGGGAAAAUUGUUGUGGGCUUUUUGUAUAGUCUGCUCCCCUGAAAUUGAUUAGCGGUACCUUUGUGGAACUGUCUACAGGUGUGAUAAUUAUCUACAUCUUAGACAUCUGCUGGAAUGCUGCUUUCUAACCCUUACUUGUAUUGACAAUCUUGACCUCAAAUCAGGUAGGACUACCCGCUGAACUUAAGCAUAUCAAUAAGCGGAGGA